CGGGGCCCGGCCGGGGCCUCGGCGACGGGGAGGCGCAGUCCUGAGCGCAAAGCUCCAUUGUUAAUAUAAAAACACCCGGGCCUGCCUCUCCUGAGCGGAAAACCACCUGUGUGCGGCCGGCGGCGCUGGGGCGGGGAGGGGGGGCCGAGGCCGGAAGGCGCGGGCCCUAAUCCGGCCUCCCCUCCCUAACCCCGGGCGGAGAAGAGGCCGCUCAUUGUGCGGCCGCCGCCAGGGAGGCGGAAGCGGGGGCAGUGGCUUGGCCGGGCCGGGAGCGGCUGUUCCGAGCGCCCCUCCCGGCGCUCUGUGCCCAUCGCAAGUGUAACGGAGGGCACCUGAGGUCGUGGGGUCUUCCUCAGCCAGACUCCCGCACCCACGGGCCGGCCUGCUGACGCCCCGCUCCGACUUGCAUUUGCAGUCACCCGCCUCUCCCCUGGUUUGGGGAAUGUAAGCUAAAAAAAGCAGGCUGCUCGCGAGGCCCAGGUUGCCAAGUUUGGAGCGCUGCCGCGGGCGGGCGGCCCCUGGAGGAGCGUGUGCGGCGAAGGCGGGGGUGGCCGAGCUCCUCUCCCCGCUCCUUUUUUGGGCAUGCCUUGGAACAAAACCCCCAUAUUUCACUGGAUAUUCCCCCGUCCCAGCUGGGGGAGGCCUGCGCUGGGUUUGACGCCUCCGGUCCGCCCCCACCUGUUACAGGCGUUACCAACCCAAGGCGUUCCAGUCCCUGGGGCCUGGAGGCGAGGACGGGGGCGGCCGGGGGCCCUGCUGUAGAACUGAGAAGAGCGGACUCUCAGCCGGGACCUCCCGCAGGAAAGGAGGGAAGAACACUGGUUUCUAUUUAAUUUUGUAUUGACUUCAGAGAGGAAGGGAGAGAGAGAAACAUCAAUGAAGAGAGAGAAUCAUUGGUUGGCUGCCUCCUGCACGCCCCCCACUGGGAGCCGGCAGCCGGGGCGUGUGCCCUUGACCGGAAUCCAACCGGGACCCUUCAGGCUGCAGGCCCAGGCUCCAUCCACUGAACCAAAUUGGCGAGGGCUCUAUUUUGCUAUUUUAAAAACGCGGUUACCUGAACCUGGCCAUAAAUUUGGGAGGAUAAUCGCAACACUUUGCAAACUCGAAGAUGGAAACAUUUAGUCUGACCCGUGCUUCUGAAGGCUGUCGCAGCCGAAUGUCUGUCCUUCUCGUCGCGUUUUCCAAAACGGCAGCGCCCUCCCCUGCGGCGCGGGGUCCCCGCGGAGCACCGGUCGGGCCGCCAGGUCCGAAAACAGGCGCCGUAAACCGCCUCUGAGCCGGGCGGCCCGGGUUUAAAUUGUGCCCCAGUCGCUUCCUAAACAUUCUACCGUGGUUAAAUCUUCUAACUGUUCUACGCCGCAGUCUCCCACGGUGGCAAAAUGAAGAUAAAAAUAUCUGCGAUGAUUGGAUGGGUAAAACGAAAUGCCCUAACAUGGUGUGCUGUUAGCUGUUGAUACUGUUUUUAUCGCUCUGAAUUCCGAACCUGUACAGAGGCCUGAGUCCUUUCCAUCCCAAAGACCCCCUUCGCGGGCUGCCUCACAGCUCGCCUGGAAUCGGCUGGUCUACAGAGAAACCCUCUGCGGAACUGCCCUGAGCAGUUGAAUCCAUCCCAACCCGCUGCCAAGCAAAGCAGGUGCUGUUACAGACCAGGGUCAAAACCCUUUAACUGGGUUAACGGACAGGAAGUACCCAGAGGAAUGACUUUGCCUGAGGUUACACAUUAGGAAAUGGUGGGGCCAGGAUUUGAGACCAGACCUUUCAGGAUUAACCACAUAAAUGUUCCAGAAAGCAGCAGUGAACAAAACAAAGAAUGCCUGCCUUCCCAGAGCUUGCAUCCUAUUGAGGACAGACAAUCGAUUACAGAAAUAAUUCUACAGUAUAUUAGAAAGUGAAAGUGCUAUGGAGAAAAAUAAAGCAAGGAAGGGAA